CCAAAAAAGGAGCUACUGACGGAAUAACGGUGCGUGGGAUGAGAAGCUCGUUUCCCCGAAAACGCUGCGUGGGAGUGGAACCCGCUUGGGACACCUGCGGGCCCUCCCUCGCCAGCAGGGCCACUCCCGCCAGCUUUACACGGACGCUUUCCUUCCACCUAGAUGUGUGUCCCGGAUUUCGUUUGGUUGAUCGAUGAAGGAGACAAGUGACCCCACGGUGAGGUCAGUCCAAUCGAUGCGCCCCCAGGAACGCUGGGAAAUCGCCCGCUUGGCUCCGCGCUGGGUUCCACGCAAAAGGGUGGUAGCCUUCUGAGAGCUUUCCCACGGAGUCAGCUCAUCCAACAGAACAAACGGAGGAGCCAGACGUCUUCUGAGCGAUCUCCAGGUGCCAGAGGAGGAAACGGAGGUGCAAAGACUUACCCGACGUCCCACGGCCAGGCCAGUCUCUGGCGCAGCUGGGAGUCAACCUAGGGAUGGGCCGAUAGCUACACAGUAGCGAUCUGUUGCCUUUGUGGGCGAGAAAUCCCGUGGAACCCUUUCCCGACAACCUGGAGACCAAGCGGUCCAUGGGCCCCUCCCCUCUGAAAGCCAAUGCAAUUGGUGGGGGUUGGGGUGCGAGUUUGAUCAAACUUUAAACUCUGGAA